GGGAGGCUCAGGAAGGCUCCCCGGAGGAGGCAGCCUUGCAGUUUUGAGGAGUGAAUAGGAGUCCAUCGGGUGGCCAGGGUCUGGAGGAGGCAGUGGGCGGUGGUUAGGAGUUUACCCUGGAGCCAGAAACUGCUGGAGCUUUUGGAAAGAAUGAGAAUACAGCCCCUGAGACCCCAGCCCACUUCCCUCAGGCUGCAUGACCUGGUGUACCGCCUCCUCUGAAUUCACCUCCCAACUCUGCCCCCACACCUGUCCGCAGCGUCUCAGAAAGUCUCCAUCUGAGACCAAAAGGAGUUUCCUGUAGCUGUGCCUGCCAGGCCAGCUCUUCCGUGAGCAUCCUCUGUCCUGUGGCCCCUGCCCUGCGGGGACUUCAGCUCCACUGCCCAGAGGAGGCCCAGAUGGUCAGAGGGUCACACAGGGCCCUGCGAGGAACGCCGCCAGAGAGCCUUGGGAGUGAAAAGAGCAGCUGCUGGUCUGGGAACGAGGGAAGGCUUCACUCCAGACCCCGGCCUGCACUGGGAACUGGAGGCAGCAGCUGGAUGGCCGACCCCAUCCCUACUUUUCAGGCCUCAUUUUCCCUUUUCUGUGAAACGGGACCAUUACUCACCUCACGGGACUAUAGACCAGGAAGGCAGAAGAAGGCUCCAGGAGUCCAGCACAGAGCAGGUGUGCAGGAAAGAGAGACCUGGCCCUCAAAGCUGAUGGGACUGAAGGGGCCGUGGACCAGAAGCCGCUUGCUCGAGGCGCAUGUGGGGCCCUGAGUCCUCCUGUGCCCUCGGACCCAUUCACUGCUGGACUCAGGGGUACAAGCCAGGGACCUCUGAACCUUGUAAAUACUCGGGGAUCAAAGGGGUCCCAGCAUCGCACAGGCCCUGAGGAGAGCCUCUGGGCCCUUUUAGUAAACAUCUGGCCUGGUGACAGCAUGGGCUUAGGGGUGUUCUGCUCUGCAGAGAAAAGGAGUUGGCAUCGGGAGCGGGAGCACAGUAAUCUGUUUGUCCCAGACCCCAGGAGUAGAUCCAGCUCUGGGGGAGGGCCACACUGCUCCCCAGAGUCAGAGGCCCACUCAGGGACUAAAGGGGCCUCUGGCUUCAUGAUCCCAAGCAAACAAGAGCAACUCUUCCCGGUCCCCACACCUAGGGAGCUGUGUGGCCUUGGGCAAGUAUCACAACCCAUCUGAUGCUCAGGGUCCUCAGCAGUGGCAUAGCAUCAAAACCAUGGAUUCUGCAUAGAAUAGGGAGAGGAUCCCAGGAGGUGAUGCGUGUGAACUGCUCCAAACAGGGCCUGGCGCCCGCAAACCUGUUAGCCGCUGUUAUUAUUGUGGUUGUCAUUGUUGUCAUCAUUGCGAUUUCCUGGCAGAGCGUAGGGAGGAGGUGUGGGAGGGGCAAGGACUCAGAGGAGUGGGGCUUUGGGACAGAGGUCCAGCUGCAAGGUGGCCCUGUGUGCCACUCCCCAAGCCCCUUGGACAGGUGAGCAUGGGCCCAGGAUGAUCUCAGUGUAGGAGAAACACAGGGACGCUGGGCUGCAGGGCACACGUGGCUCUUAUCCACCCGCUCGGUCCCCCCGGGGCUCCUG
rnacentral:lncRNA from 1 species